GAUGAACGCUAGCGAUAGGCUUAACACAUGCAAGUCGAGGGGCAGCAUGGUCUUAGCUUGCUAAGACUGAUGGCGACCGGCGCACGGGUGCGUAACGCGUAUGCAACUUGCCUCACAGAGGGGGAUAACCCGUCGAAAGACGGACUAAUACCGCGUACACUUGGGAUAGGGCAUCCUGACCCAAGGAAAUGAAAUUCGCUGUGAGAUAGGCAUGCGUCCCAUUGGCUAGUUGGUGAGGUAACGGCUCACCAAGGCGACGAUGGGUAGGGGAACUGCGAGGGGGAACCCCCACACUGGUACUGAGACACGGACCAGACUCCUACGGGAGGAAGCAGUGAGGAAGAUUGGUCAAUGGGCGAGAGCCUGAACCAGCCAAGUCGCGUGAAGGAUGACUGUCUUAUGGAUUGUAAACUUCUUUUAUAAGGGAAUAACAAGAGCCACGUGUGGCUCCCUGCAUGUACCGUAUGAAUAAGCAUCGGCUAACUCCGUG
rnacentral:rRNA from 1 species